UCGGAUAUGGUGUAACGGCUAACAUUAGUGCCUCUCAUUACCGGUAAUUAAUAGGGUUCGCGCUAGCUCGGGGUUCGAUUCCCCGUAUCCGAA